rnacentral:rRNA from 1 species
CGAGAUAUUUUGUCUUUUGCGAUACACUUUCAAAGAGUCAGGUUGUUUGGGAAUGCAGCCUAAAUUGGGUGGUAAAUCUCACCUAAAGCUAAAUAUUGGCGAGAAACCGAUAGCGAACAAGUACCGUGAGGGAAAGAUGAAAAGAACUUUGAAAAGAGAGUUAAACAGUAUGUGAAAUUGUUAAAAGGGAACCGUUUGGAGCCAGACUGGCUUGUCUGUAAUCAAUCUAGGUUUCGUGCCUGGAUGCACUUGCAGACUAUUUGCCUGCCAACGACAAUUUUUUUUGAGUGUAAAAACUAUUGGAAAUGUGGCCAAUAUUUAUUUAUUGGUGUUAUAGUCCUUUAGAAAAUACCUUGAAUUGGAUUGAGGAACGCAGCGAAUGCUUCUCUUUUGAGGCAAAGUCUUUUAUUGGGAUUUACGGAUCAGACUGUGGCAUUGUCACAAGACUUGAAGUUUAAACCUAUUUUUGAACUUUUAUUCGCUU